GAUGAACGCUGGCGGCGUGCCUAAUACAUGCAAGUCAAGCGAACAGACGAGGAGCUUGCUCCUCUGACGUUAGCGGCGGACGGGUGAGUAACACGUGGAUAACCUACCUAUAAGACUGGGAUAACCUCGGGAAACCGGAGCUAAUACCGGAUAAUAUAUUGAACCGCAUGGUUCAAUAGUGAAAGACGGUUUUGCUGUCACUUAUAGAUGGAUCCGCGCCGCAUUAGCUAGUUGGUAAGGUAACAGCUUACCAAGGCAACGAUGCGUAGCCGACCUGAGAGGGUGAUCGGCCACACUGGAACUGAGACACGGUCCAGACUCCUACGGGAGGCAGCAGUAGGGAAUCUUCCGCAAUGGGCGAAAGCCUGACGGAGCAACGCCGCGUGAGUGAUGAAGGUCUUCGGAUCGUAAAACUCUGUUAUUAGGGAAGAACAAAUGUGUAAGUAACUAUGCACGUCUUGACGGUACCUAAUCAGAAAGCCACGGCUAGCUACGUG
rnacentral:rRNA from 1 species